UACAGAGGUCUCAAGCGUUGUUCGGAUUCAUUGGGCGUAAAGGGUGCGUAGGUGGCGAUGUAAGUCUGGUGUGAAAUCUCGGGGCUCAACCUCGAAAUUGCAUUGGAUACUGCGUUGCUUGAGGAUUGUAGAGGAGAGUGGAAUUCAUGGUGUAGCAGUGAAAUGCGUAGAUAUCAUGAGGAAGACCAGUUGCGAAGGCGACUCUCUGGGCAAUUCCUGACACUGAGGCACGAAGGCCAGGGGAGCGAACGGG
rnacentral:rRNA from 1 species